rnacentral:lncRNA from 1 species
CCCAGUUCGGUUCAGUUGUGGAAGCACAGCAGAUGCAGUGGCUAGGUUUCUCUUUACAAACCUGCCAAAAGAGAACACCAGCCCUGCCCUUUACAGUCACUGACAGACGCUGGGCCUCUGCCCAGCGGCCAGAGCCAUGCAGGGCUUGGUGAGGGUUUCCCAGACAUCUGAUGUCUCUGCCCUCAGACUAUAGGAUGGAAGGAGAGGCUGUCUGCAAGUGGAGGAAAACGAGAGAAUCCAUGUGAGAGUCAGGUGGCUUUACAAGAUGCAGAAGCCUAAGGCCCAAGGUGGCGGCAGUGGUGAUGUUCCUUCUCUCUGGGUCCAGUUCCAUGGCUCCCUGGAAAGUGAUAUGAUGACCUUGGGCUUGAGCCCAAAGAACACAGGAGAUUUCUGGCAGGUUGAGGGUGGGUUGGUGCCAAUCCACUUAGAACAAAAAACACUGCAUGUUGUGCUCACGUGGAGGAGCGUGUCUGCACCUGCCUCCUGUGGACACAGGGGCACCGACAGCGGCCACCAGCAGACUGAGGGUCCCCUUGGAGGAGAAGCAGGGUGUGCGGUAGCAAGGAUUCGUGGGUGGGGGUUUGAUGGGAGAGCAGGCACACCCUGGCUGUGGAAGCAGGACGCCUGGGCUGCAGUGACCACUGAUGCAAAAUCAGUGACCACAUAAAAAGCAGAUACUGGACCCCUCAGUCCCAGCUUCCUCCACACUUCGUCUGUGCGAGUUACUGCUGGAAAGUUCGCUAGGGCCUUUUCCAUCAAGUGUACACACACUCGUGUUCAUGUCUCUGCACACACAGGGCCAAAAUAUAUAUUCUCCUGUACAGUCUACUUGCUGGAUGGUGGCUAGGUCCCAGCUCAUUCAUCUUAAAUUGUCAACUUCCUCCUGCUGCCCUGGUGCUGUAAAUGCACUUAGCUAUAAUAAUAGCAGCAGCUUUGGAAACCCAGGACUGCCUUUCCCUCGAACAAAGCCCUCUUCCUGUAGCUGCCAUCAUGGCCGCAUUAUUUCCCACGGCUGGGUAGAGUUUAUUUUAAUACUAAUUCCAAAAUAUGAUUGAGAAUGUUGAUUGCAGAGCUUGUGUUUGGACUUGCUCAGGGUUUACGCAAUGACACUCUAUCGCUUUCCCCUCUGAGCGCAGGGAACUUGGAGUUACUAGACAUGACCAUCGUACAAACAUGGAAACUGAGGCUGAGAAAGGAGACAUGUUGAGCCCAAGAAUGCCACCCAGUGAGUGGUGGAGCCAGGACUGAGGUGUAAAUCUCUAGGUUCUAGGCUGGUGCUUUACUUAUUUUACCUGUGAUUUUAUGAAGGUUUUCUGGGAAUCCUUCCAACUCCGAUGGCAGUAGUGGGGAAGGGGUAUGUGUAGCCCAGAGCCUCAUCUGCUAGGGGCUUUUAAAGCAAUUCCAAAUUGGAUUACAAGCAAAGGAUGUUCACCAAGCAAUUUGCCCUAUUUGGUCUCUAUUCUCUCUCUCAUUUUCCACCCAACAAACUUGGGAUGAGUGCUUACUGUAUCUUUGGCUCCAUGCCCUCCAUGGGAUUCUCCAGGCAAGAGUACUGGAGUGGGUUGCCAUUUCCUUCUCCAGGGGAUCUUCCCAACCCAGGGAUUGAACCCUGGUCUCCCGCAUUCCAGGCAGAUGCUUUAACCUCUGAGCCACCAGGGAAGUCCCAU